AAUGAACGCUGGCGGCAGGCCUAACACAUGCAAGUCGAACGGAUCCUUCGGGAUUAGUGGCGGACGGGUGAGUAACGCGUGGGAACAUACCCAAAGGUACGGAAUAGCCUCGGGAAACUGGGAGUAAUACCGUAUGUGGUCGAGAGACGAAAGAUUUAUCGCCAAAGGAUUGGCCCGCGUUGGAUUAGGUAGUUGGUGGGGUAAUGGCCUACCAAGACGACGAUCCAUAGCUGGUUUGAGAGGAUGAUCAGCCACACUGGGACUGAGACACGGCCCAGACUCCUACGGGAGGCAGCAGUGGGGAAUCUUAGACAAUGGGGGAAACCCUGAUCUAGCCAUGCCGCGUGAUCGAUGAAGGCCUUAGGGUUGUAAAGAUCUUUCAGGUGGGAAGAUAAUGACUGUACCACCAGAAGAAGCCCCGGCUAACUCCGUGCCAGCAGCCGCAGUAA
rnacentral:rRNA from 1 species